AAGAAUGGAAAGCACACAAACAUCACAAGAUUUGCACCCUCCUCUUCCUUACCCUCUUCGCUCGUCCCUCACCACCCAACUCUUUCUUUUUUUUGUUCAAGAUUUUUGUUCAAGACUUACAGAUUAUAGAUCUC
rnacentral:ribozyme from 1 species